rnacentral:lncRNA from 1 species
UGCCAGUGUUGUAAAUGGACACGACUCUUGUUUUAAAAAGCACAACCCACCCCAUGGCUGCGGAACCCACUCUGUGCGAAUUUCCCUGAAGGGAAUCUGUCCUUCCAAACCAGGAAAGCACUCCCCACAUGCAGGUGUUUGCAGCAAUGUUAUUUACAGCAUCCACAAUUAGGAGACAAUGUCAGCGUUCCAGAGUGGGGCUACAGUUCAAUUCAGUCAGGCCACCUCCCAUUAUGAACCAUGUUAAAUCAUCAAAUAUAAUGUUGAAGACCAGUGUGGAACAGAACUUAGCAAUACAUAGACAGCUGGAUCUAGGGAGGGCCUCGGGUGCCCUGCUUAGGAAUUUUGACCUUUGAUGUCCAAAAUCCUGCUAGAUGGGACACUCCCAAAGGGCAGCGUGGCUGGGCCUGCAGCUCCUGGCACCUAGCAUGCUGAUGGGGUGUGCUGGCUGCUGGGGGGACCCAGUGGAUUGGCAGACAUGACCCUGAAGGCCAGGACUCCCGGCAGGCGGCAGGUCCAGGCAGUCAAGGUGGGAGAUGUGCACCUGGGCAGUGACCAGGCCCGUGGGAAGCCUGAGAUUUUCACCGAUGCCACUUGGCAGUCCUUCUCUUGGGCUUUAUUAAUUAACAUGCUGUUGGCCACACUGCUUUUUUCAUUGCCUAGGAGUUCAGGAAGAAAUGCGCUCCCUGGGGCACAUGUGGUCAGGGUGGGGCUGUCGAAAGCUGGUGUUUACAAAUCAGGCUGCCCAUAUUGUCCCACUGUGCUCACGGCUACCAGGCUUGCUCUGCUCCACGGACCAGGCUGCAAGGGUGAUCAACACAGGCUACACGCCCCCCCACUUAGCCCCUCAGCCCCUUGCCCAUUGGCUGGUGGAAGCCCCUGGCCCUCUGCUGCCUGAGUCACUGUCACUGCAGUGUAAU